rnacentral:rRNA from 1 species
CAAAUUGAGAGUUUGAUCCUGGCUCAGGACGAACGCUGGCGGCGUGCCUAAUACAUGCAAGUCGAGCGAGCUGAAUUCAAAGAUCCCUUCGGGGUGAUUUGUUGGACGCUAGCGGCGGAUGGGUGAGUAACACGUGGGCAAUCUGCCCUAAAGACUGGGAUACCACUUGGAAACAGGUGCUAAUACCGGAUAACAACAUGAA